CAAAUGUCAGGUGGUUUGGUGUAGAGAGGGUGAUUACAAUGUUUUGGUGAUGGACCCACUGAGGCCAAGCCUUGAGCACCUUUUCGUUUAGUUUUAUCUUUGUUUGCUGAGAUAAGCGAGAUCGUACUCAUUCCAAUUCCGGAUAAUUUGUCUGCAUAGCCUUCGAAUGGCACAUACUGACCUCAGACUGGAGAAUGUUCAUGUAAGACCAGUAGACAAACGUUGUCAAAACAUGGUUGUCACACAUGCGUCCUGUCCCAAUGGCUCAAAUUGUUGGUCCUCGCAUGGCAAUGUCCCUGCUUGUAUUCAUGGAGUUGGUCAGCAACUCUCUUAUGGCCAGCAACCUCC